rnacentral:lncRNA from 1 species
GAGGUUCUUUUCUUUCCACCGGGAGUGAAAGCAGAAGCAGCAGGGCUUCUAGGGUGGAGGGGUGGGGAGUCACGUGAUGCUGCUUCUGCUAUAUCCCGUGAUCCCAUAACUCUCAAAGUCACCCCAGAUCCAAGGAGGUGGGAAAAUAGACGCCACCUACUUAAGGUAGGAGCUGUGAAGAAUAUAUGGCCAUAUUGAACCCUCCAUAGGGCAAUUUCGAUGAGUAAGGCAACUUCCGGGAUGGAGCAAGGACGACUGAAUUCGAGGAGUUUUAAGGAAUCCUACUUCAUUUAACAAGGACUCCUAUAUAAAUGAGUAGCUUCAGAAGGAACCAACAUGAGAGACCCGAACACUAAAUACUUAGAACCAGGGCUUUAAGUCCACUGUAGUGUUUCCUGGCCCCUGGAAAGAGUGAUCUAGAUGUCCUGCUUAAGGGUAAGCAUUUAGCUGUCACUCAUUCUCAGGACCAGUUAUGAGUCUCAGCAUGAACUGCAAAUAGAAGCUUCUGAGAACGUGGCCGAGAUUACCAUUACCCUAUGGAAUUGAAAGAACAAUUCUCAGCUUAACAGGGAAAGACAAAAAAACUCAGGCUAGCUAAAGCAAUCCUGAACAAUAAAGGAACUGCUGGAAGUCCCACCAGAGUUGAUUUCAAGAUGUCCUACAGAGCUAUAGGAAUAAAAACCACAUGGUACUGACAUAAAAACAGACACAUUCAUCAAUGCAAUAAAACUGAAGCCCCAGACACAAAUCCACACUUAUGGACAUCUGAUUUUUGAUAAAGAAGCCAGGGAUAUAGAGUGGGAAAGGAAAGCUGCUUCAUCAAAUGGUGCUAGUCAAUACGCUAGUUGGGAUGUAGAGGAAUGUAAAGAACCAUAUCAAUCACCCUGCACAAAACUCAAGUCCAAGUGGAUCAAAGAUGUCAACUUAAAAUCAAACAGAAUGAACCUGAGAGAAGAGAGAGUGGGGAACUGCUUUGAACUUAUUGGUACAGGAGGCAAGUUUCUGAACAGAACACCAACAGCACAGGCACUAAGAUCAACAAUUAAUAAAUGGGACUUUAUGAAACAGAAUCAACUUUUGUAAGACAAGGGACACCAUGAAUUGGACAAAGCAACAGACUUCAGAAUGGGAAAAGAGUUUUCCAACUUCACACCCAAUAGAGGACUAGUAUCCAAAAUAUAUAAAGAACUCAAGAAACUACAUAUUUUAAAAAGACCACACAAUUUAAAAAUGGGGAGCAUAUUUAAACAGAAUUCACAACAAAGGAAUUUCAAAUGGCCGAGAAACAAAGAAAUUGUCAACAUCCAUAGCCAUCAGGGAAAUGCAAAUAAAAACGACUUGGAGAUUUCAUCUUACACCUGUCAGAAUGACCAAGAUCAAUAACGCGAGUGACAGCUCCUGCUGGUGAGGAUGGGGGCAAGAAGAACACUCUUCCAUGCUGGUGGGAGUGCAAGCUUGUAAAGCCACUAUGGAAAUCAAUAUGUUUUUUUCUCAGAAAGUUGGGAAUCAAUCUGUUUCAAGAUUAGUUAUACCACCCUUGGGCAUAUACCCAAAGGAUGCUCCAUCUCGCUGCAAGGACACUUGCUCAACAAUGUUCAUUGUGGUUUACUUCAAAAGAGCCAGGAACUGGAAUAACCUAGAUGUUCCUCAACAGAAGAACAGACAACAAAAAUAGUGAUACAUUUACCCAACUGAGUAUAACCCAGUGGUAAAACAAAACAAAACCCAAAACCAAAAAAUGGCCUUUUUGGAUGGAGAAGCAGGAGUGAAGCAUAUCAGUGGUAAAACAAAACAAACCCAAAACCAAAAAAUGGCCUUUUUGGAUGGAGAAGCAGGAGUGAAGCAUAUAAGAUGUAGGCCAUGGGGGCUGUUCAGAGAUUGUGUUAUCUGUUCACUCUAAAACAAACCCAACAACAACAACAAAUGGAAUCAUGACAUUUGCAGGUAAAUGGAUGGAAUUAGGAAAAAAAUUCUGAAGUGAGAACCCUUGAUCUUCAAAAGGCAAUAUGGUGUGUACUCAGAGUGGAUAUUAUCUGUUAAGUAAUAAGCUACAGUCCAUAGACCCAAAGAAGAGGGCACUGGGGGGCGGCAGGGAUCCCCUGGGAGGGAGAAAUAGGAUAAAUUUUAUGGGCACUGUGGGGAAGGUGGGGAUGGGAGCAGGGGAUCAGGUGACAGGGAUGUGGGGGGAGGGAGAGAGAGUGAGGAGAGAUGGUGAAAUUAAUCAUUGCAGGGCGGGGGAAUGAAGGAGGACCUCGUACAGUGGAGAGUUCCUAGACUAUGAAGGUGAGCUUAACGAAGACUCCUGGUAAUGGGGAAUAUAGAGUUCAGCUGGCCAUCUCUUGUUGCCAGGUGAGGCAUCCAGUGUCAGGACUAGGUUGCAUUCAAUUGAGUUGUUGGCUAAGUGGGUCCCACGGAGAUCCCCUAAUAACCCAGGCUGUUGCAGAGACAAAGGGGUGGUCUCUGAAAACUGUCUGUGGAAACCCCAUUGCUGAGGACAAUCCCACACAAAUCAGUGAUCAUGGAGAAGCCAAGUUAGUGCCUGUGUGGAGCCCUCACCCCAACAUUACAGUUUCUUCGGUGUGGAAGGGACUCUGCAGACUGCUGAAAGAAAUGUGGACACCAAUCCAGCCACGAAACCUUUGACCCACAAUCUGUCCUGUUUGCAUAAUGUGUUAGGGCAAUAGUGGCAUAGAACAGGUUAUAGCAGCCUGAUUUGACCCAAGGCCUACUCCAUGAGAGGGACCCCACACCCGACAAUGCUUAGGUAAUCAAGAACCAGAGACUAGAUCGCCCAGAGACCUAAAGUAAAACCCAACACCUUGCUUGCUGAAUUAAAAAAAUAAAUAAAAUGAUUCUAUAGGUAUCCUGCUAUACUCAUUGAUUAAUAACCUUAUCCAGUCAUCAUCAGAGAGGCUUCCUCCAACAGCAGAUGGGAACAGAUGCAGAGACCCACAGCCAGAUAUUAUGCGGAAAGUGAGUCUAAAUGGAAGGUCUCCAUCAAAUCCCUGCUUUUUGAGCUCGGGGAAUCUCCGGGAAGAAGAGGCAGAAAGAAGGUGUGGAGGACACCCAGAGAAGGAGGAGCAUAUAAGCUCACAGAGACUGAAGCAUCAAGCGUAGGGCCUAACAUGGGUCCCCAUGGGUCCUCUGCAUUUAUAUUAUAGCUAUUAGCUUUGUAUUUCUGUGGGACUCCUGACUGUGGGAAGGAGUGGAUCUCUGACUCUAGUGCCUGCUCUUGGGACUCCUCCUGUCGAGUUGCCAUGUCCAACUUUGACAUGAUAGUUUUUGCUUCACCUUAAUAUAUUUGAUUUUGCCAUGUUCGGUUGUUAUCUCUUAGAAGCCUGUUCUUUUCUAAUGAGAGACAGAAAGUGGGGGGGGGGGAUCUGAAGGGGAGAGGAUAUGGGGAGAGACUGGGGGAGUAGAGGGAGGGAAAACUUUCAUCAGGAUGUAUUAUAUGAGUAAAGAAUAUUUUCAAUAAAAGAAAAAGUGUA